UUUAAUUUAUAUGAUGGUGUGACAUUUAAAUAGUAAUGCAUUUUAUAUGGUGUAAAAUUUCAAGUAAAAAAUAAAGAGAAAAGAAAUAAAAAUUCAUGGGGCCCACUCUCCCCGCUGGUUCUCUCCCUCACCUCUUGUUUUGCUUUUUCAUUUUCUUUUCACAUUCAAUCUUUGAUGCAAGAUUACUUCUUCAUUAUUUGCCGGAUUGAGGUGCCGUUUGAGGUAAAACGAAGAGCACGACGAACUCUACGCGUGUGUACCAGAAAUUCCAGCUUUGAGCCUCCUUAGGGACUUCGAAAAUUUGAACCCAUUUUAAAGGUUUUGUUCAAAAUCAUGGGAUACAAGAGACGUGUUUUAAGUGCUACCUACUCACCCUAUUAUAAUUAUCAUUUUUUCAAGACAUGGAAAAGGAGUAGCUGACGGUAAUCCACCUCAGCCUUAGCUUGGAGUAGAGAAAUGUCUCUUUUGUUAUCUUUUGUAAAUGGACCUAAUUUUUGUAAAGUACUAACUCAAGAUGUAUUAUUUUUGCAACGUGUGGUGUAUUGAGGUUCAUUUUGUA